CUGGCGGCAGGCUUAACACAUGCAAGUCGAGCGGAAACGAUGGGAGCUUGCUCCCAGGCGUCGAGCGGCGGACGGGUGAGUAACACUUAGGAAUCUACCUAGUAGUGGGGGAUAGCUCGGGGAAACUCGAAUUAAUACCGCAUACGUCCUACGGGAGAAAGGGGGCAACUUGUUGCUCUCGCUAUUAGAUGAGCCUAAGUCGGAUUAGCUAGUUGGUGGGGUAAAGGCCUACCAAGGCGACGAUCUGUAGCUGGUCUGAGAGGAUGAUCAGCCACACCGGGACUGAGACACGGCCCGGACUCCUACGGGAGGCAGCAGUGGGGAAUAUUGGACAAUGGGGGCAACCCUGAUCCAGCCAUGCCGCGUGUGUGAAGAAGGCCUUUUGGUUGUAAAGCACUUUAAGCAGUGAAGAAGACCAUAUGGUUAAUACCCAUAUGCGAUGACAUUAGCUGCAGAAUAAGCACCGGCUAACUCUGUGCCAGCAGCCGCGGUAAUACAGAGGGUGCAAGCGUUAAUCGGAAUUACUGGGCGUAAAGCGAGCGUAGGUGGCUUGAUAAGUCAGAUGUGAAAUCCCCGGGCUUAACCUGGGAACUGCAUCUGAUACUGUUAGGCUAGAAUAGGUGAGAGGAAGGUAGAAUUCCAGGUGUAGCGGUGAAAUGCGUAGAGAUCUGGAGGAAUACCGAUGGCGAAGGCAGCCUUCUGGCAUCAUAUUGACACUGAGGUUCGAAAGCGUGGGUAGCAAACAGGAUUAGAUACCCUGGUAGUCCACGCCGUAAACGAUGUCUACUAGUCGUUGGGUCCCUUGAGGACUUAGUGACGCAGCUAACGCAAUAAGUAGACCG
rnacentral:rRNA from 1 species